ensembl:lncRNA
GAAUUCUGCGAGUCACACUUUGUCGAAAUCUGGCACGUUAUAUUUAUAUACAUUAUACGACUCUCCUGAUGAGUUUUAUCCUCCUGGUUCUCUGUUCAGCCAAGGAGAGGGAGACUUGCUGCUUGUGUGACUGACAAACUUCUGCACGAUACACACACAUAGGCGUAGAUUACGGGGGACAUGUCCGAAAAAAUUGCGACCGAAGAAAUCGCCACAUUCUCAAGCGAAAUCGUCGAGACUAAAUCAUGCGAUAGGCGCGCACGAAUCCUCACAGCAUGCACACCUGCCACCUAGUGGUGAUUGCAAACAUGUGAAAAACGCAAUUUGGUAUUGUAGCGUCGGCCAAGAAGAACACAGUCAGGUUUUGUGGAAAGCUUCACAGCAGCGCUACAGCUGGCUCUCCCGCCGUAUUACAAGACCAAAGAGCGCCACAACGAUGACCACUUCCUGCUAGGCCUGGGGAGUGAUUCGAGAACGAGUGGGCAGAGGAAGUGGUGUUGUUAAUGGGUGUCACGAUGCCUCGUCUCUCACAAGGGCUGAGCUUGUCAGCCGGGUUGUAGUCCUCUGCGUGAUCGUCCCGUCGCCGAGUCGGCACCAUGAAGAGCUCCUCGACCCUCCUCCUCCUCACCCUGCUCUCUCUGUUGGCGGGCGUCCCCGCCGCUGACCCAUCCAGUGAGAGCCCGGACCCCUCCCCCUCGAACUCCUCCACCCUUGGCGGCUCCGUCCUGAACACCUCCGCCCCGGACCCCUCCCCCUCAGACCUGACGACCCAGGGAGACCCUUCCGCCUCGAACCAAACCUCAGACGGCCCCGGCUCCUCCCCGACACCGGAGUACAACGCCACCGACGGCCCGACCCGGCCCCCCAGCUCGGUGCUCCCCGCUCAUACCUCCACCACCGCCAAGCCCACCACCGCCACCACGGAGCGCUGCAUGUUCCCCCGGACGCAGGGGCGCGUGGUGCUGAUGGUGGCGGGCGCGCUGACGGUGGCGUGCGUGGGCCUGCUGGUCACCACCGCCCUGCUGACCUGGAAGCUCUGCCAGCGGCGGCGGGAGGCGGAGCCAGACAGCGACCUCAUCAGCAACUCUGAGUUCUGGAUGGGCAGCGCGCGGCGCAACAAGGCCAAGCCACCCCCCGCCAACGACACCUGCCUGCUGCUCGGACACCUGGAGACGAAGGGGGGGCAGCGGGGGGCCGAGGGGGGCGACGGAGGGGAGGCAGGCGAGGAGCAGGAGGGGAAGGGGGGAGAGGGGGAGGUGGACGCGGAGGCGAACGGGAUGGCCGGCGUCCUGGCCCCAGCGGGGUCCCAGUGAGUCUGGACCCCCGCGGACCCCUGCCUUGGGGUCCGGGAGGCGGUGUAGAGCCAGGGGUUUGUGUAUUCACACACAACCGCUCAAGUUCAAAACACACACACACACACACACACACACACACACACACCACCUGCCUACAAAGCCACUUCCUGCCGGCGUGGUUGGGUACGCCGGGUCCGCUGGUGUGAGGCUGCGUUCAGGAGACAGUCCAACUGGACGGGGCUGCCAGGGACCGACCGCCAGGCCUCCGUUGUUCUGUGUUCUGGGUCUGGGGAGAAGUGCCCCCCCUUGUGGAAAAAGUUUUGUUUUCUAUGAAUAAAUAUGUAAAUAAAUGAAUAAGAAAAGAAAA